rnacentral:rRNA from 2 species
UGGGGAAUAUUGGGCAAUGGGGGAAACCCUGACCCAGCAACGCCGCGUGAAGGAAGAAGGCUUUCGGGUUGUAAACUUCUUUGACAGGGGAAGAAUUUUUGACGGUACCCUGAAAACAAGCCACGGCUAACUACGUGCCAGCAGCCGCGGUAAUACGUAGGUGGCAAGCGUUGUCCGGAUUUACUGGGUGUAAAGGGCGUGUAGGCGGGUCUGCAAGUCAGAUGUGAAAUACCACGGCUCAACCGUGGGACUGCAUUUGAAACUGCAGGUCUUGAGUGAUGGAGAGGCAGGCGGAAUUCCUAGUGUAGCGGUGAAAUGCGUAGAUAUUAGGAGGAACACCAGUGGCGAAGGCGGCCUGCUGGACAUUAACUGACGCUGAUGCGCGAAAGCGUGGGGAGCAAACAGG